rnacentral:lncRNA from 1 species
GUGUGCUCGCCUGCUUCGGGCAAAAUAUUAUCCGAAUGGAAAUCUUCUCGACACGGUAUUUUCAGGUAAUUCUUUGGCUGUUUGGAAUGGUAUUGAAUAUGGCCUUCAACUAGUGAAAAAGGAUUUUAUUUGGAGAAUCGGUAACGGCUGUAUGGUGCGUACAUCGCGUGAUCUUUGGAUCCCAAGAGGUAAUGAUCUUAGACCGAUUACUCCGAAAAGGAAUUGUCGCUUUAAUCAUGUUUCAGACUUACUGUUCAACCAUGGUGGAUGGAACAUGGAGCGUCUCCAACAACAUUUUUGGGAUGUAGAUGUGCAGCAAAUUCUGAGAAUACGUACAUCUCCGAGAGGCCGGGAAGAUUUUAUUGCCUGGUUUCCAGAAAAGUCUGGAAAAUUUACUGUUAAGAGCGCCUACAAACUCGCUACUAGAGAACAUGACGAUUCAUUUGCAGGAGGGACUUCAAGUAUGUGUCGAGAGGGAGAUCGAUCCAUAUGGAAUUAUGUUUGGCGGGCUAAAGUUCCUCUUAAAAUGCGUAUUACAGCUUGGAAGGCCGCGUCAGGUGCUCUUGCCACUGAUCAAAACAAGUUAUACCGACAUAUUGGCACUACUGAUUGUUGCAGGGUGUGCGGCCGGGAGAGGAAAGGUUCUUACCAUGCCCUAGUUGCAUGCCCUCAAGCACGACUUGUGUGGCAGAGGAUGCGAGAGUUAUGGCCAUUGCCAACUGAUGAUGUGUUACUAGAUAAUGGUAAAGAGUGGCAUUGCAUGUGCUUGCUGCAUGUGAUAAUAAGGUACACGAUAUGGUCAUUCUACUUAUAUGAAGAAUUUGGCAACUUCGCGAUGAUGUUGUGCAUGGCAAGGAAGUGCCACCGGUUGAUGUUACUAUGAAAUUUCUGGAUAGCUAUUAUAAGUCUCUGGAUCUAGCCAGGAAUUAUAGCAUGGAAGAAAUUGUAAAAGGGAAGAUGUGGGAAAGUAGGAGGUUAUUCUUAUUAGUAUUCAGCAGGCCACGGCUCCUGUUCCUUGGCCACCACCUCCAGCAAAUUGGGUUGCGCUGUCUAUUGAUGGAUCUUUCUCAGCUCACGAUGGCAAGACAGGUGCUGGUAUGAUCUUACGUCGUGAUGAUGGCUCUAUUAUCUUUGCUGCUUACCGUGUUAUAUUUAAUUACAAUGAAGCGCUCGAGGCGGAGAUACAUGCAAUAAUGCAAGGGAUGGCCCUUGCUUUACAACAUACUGAUUUACCAGUUAAGGUGCAAUCUGAUUCCUGUAAUGCACUUUCGAUACUCUCUGGUGAUAGUAUGUCCCAAUCGGCCUAUGGUCAUCUAGUAGCAGAGAUUAAAUUUUGUAUGGAUGAGAGGGAGUUUGUUCCACAAAAGAUUAGUAGGUCUCAAAAUAGGGUAGCAGAUUGUAUGGCAAAUUAUAGCCGUACUGAGUCUUGUACUGCGGUAUGGAUGAGCAGAUGUCCUCCAUGUUGUGAGGACUUAUUGCCUCUCGACUGUAACCCUGUGACUUUGGAAUAAAAUUUUCGUAUUAUUCGCAAAAAAAUACUCCCUCCAUUCCAAAAUAUAGUGCGCCCGCGCUUCCUGGGGUCCAACUUUGACUAUAAAUUUAACCAACGAGACCGACUGCGGUGAGAGAAAAAAUUAUAUAAUUGAGAACUUCCUUUGAAUACGAAUUCAGUGGUAUAACUUUUGCUCCCGCCGCAAUCGGUCUAGUUGAUUAAAUUUAUGAUCAAAGUUGAAGCACGGAAAUAAAGGAAGCACUAUAUUUUGAAACGGGGGGAGUAUGUGAUUAACGUAAGUAGCACACAACAAUACAAACUCACACUACUUGCUAGCAGCAAAAAUUCUUUGAGCCAGAUUAAUACCCAUCAGGGACUCACUCUGGAGCACAUCCAACAGUUUGCGUCUCUUUAGGAGAUGUUAAGCUCCAUUUAACUAAACCCAGAUGUCCCGGACAAGAUUACCUGGAAGUUCAUCUCCGAUGGUGUUUACCCCGCGCCUCGGCCUACAAAGCUCAAUUUGAGGGACACACAGUCUCGCAUAUAUAUGCAUCCGUUUGGAGUUUGGGCACCCCAAAAUGUAAGCUUUCUGUGUGGCUUGUGAUUCAAACCCAUGUUUGGACUGCAGAUAGGCUUGAGCGCCGAGGAUGGCCCAACUGCAGCCUUUGCCCUCGACACAUCUCCUUAGACUACCCAUAGUGGGAGUAACAUAGGUAGUAACAUCACAUAUAUCUAGUUUAAAUAGAUGAUGUGACAUGCAAUAAAUGAAGAAAGAGAUGAAAGUGGUAACAUAGCUAGUUACUACUAGUAUGAGUAACAUCACACAUAUCAAGACAAGAUGUGUCUAUAGCUUAAUAAAUGAAGUGCUCCAUGUUACCACACAUAUGUUACUGCCCACUAUAGAUGUAGUAACAUAGACUAGUAACAUUACUAGUCUAUGUUACUACCCAUUAUGGCUAGUCUUAUGCCAUUACCGCUUCUCGAUGCGAGUGCGGUGUGACAUUGUGGCUUGGCACGCAAAUAAAAAACAUCCCCUGGAUAAGCCUCACGGCCUGGAGGUCUUCUUAAUAGAAGGGACAUUUGGCGAUAAGCUUGUGCCUGUUUGGAGAGAUCAUCAUAAAUUAUUAAAGUAUGCCGUUCGUGGUACAUAAAAUACGAGAAAUUGGAUUGUACAUCUUUCAUCUUUUUGAUUUUGAUAUCGAUUUUGAUACAUAUAAGGUGUCCUACGAAUAAUGCAAAUCGAAGCUAUUUGAUGUCUGACUCAGAGUUUUUCUUUACGGAAAGAUAAUGAGAUGGCUCUCUGUGCUCUGAUUGAUUUUUUGUAUUAUGAUCUAUCUAGGAGCAAUACCAAAGUGUUUCAAAGGAGGAUUACCUUGACUUAGGUCUGCCUCCGGUCUAAAUUAAAUCAACCUAAGAUCCAUUUUGCAAGUUCGUUAUUACGGGUAGUUCCUACAAAGAAUCGGACUAAUGACGUAUACAAUGCUUGAAUUAUCGAUGUAGAUGCUACAUAGUGGCCCUCCGAUUACUAUUACUAUAGAGAUGAACCCAAUCCAGAAUAUGAACCAUAAAAGAAAACACCUACUAAACCAAUCACAUCAGUAUUUAGUUAGGUAUUUGCAUUCAAAAUAAGAAAAGAGAACUAUUAAGAACUUGUAAAAUAAGGAUUAGGAAUUAAUUUGGGUUGCGCUAUAUCUAUCAAAGACAUUCUCUAGAAAAGGUACUGUCAAUAAGCCUGUUGACACAGAAACCAUUAAAAGAACGCCCAAUAACUUAUUGGGUACCGUACGGAGUAUUUCAUGUUGCUAUUCCCGCAUCCAGGGGGGAGUACGUUCGAUGGAAUAAUUUCUUAGAUGUAUUACCCUAUCCCCAGGGGUUGGGACCCCUUUUGACGGGUCAAUGGAAUCUGUCAAUUUUAUUUCUCAUGAAAAUAGCAAGUUAACUCAAAGAAUUUAUCACACAAAUAGUCAAUUUGUUAGAACUUGCUUAGUAGUGAAUUGGGAACAAGAAGAAAAAGAAAAGGCUGGUGCUUCCCUUGUUGAGGUAAGAGCAAAUGAUCUUAUUCGCGAUUUCCUAAGAAUUGAGUUAGUCAAGUCCACUAUUUCGUAUACACGAAAAAGGUAUGGUAGGACAAGUGCAGGACCGAUUCCCCAUAAUAGGUUAGAUCGCGCCAAUAUCAAUUCUUUUUAUUCCAAGGCGAAGACUGAAUCACUUAGCCAACAUCCAGAAGCUAUUGGCACUUUGUUGAAUCGAAAUAAAGAAUGCCACUCUUUGAUGAUUUUGUCGGCAUCCAACUGUUCUCGAAUUGGUUUAUUCAAGAAUUCAAAACAUCCCAAUGCGAUAAAAGAAUGGAAUCCUAGAAUUCCUAUUCGAGAAAUUUUUGGUUAUCUACAUCUAUCCCAAUAAGCUGUCUAUCGAAUCGUUGCAAUUGAUGUUCGAUCUUGAAGAGAAGGAAGAGAUCUUCAAAAAGUAGGUUUUUAUGAUCCGAUAAAGAAUCAAACUUGUUUAAACGUUCCAGCUAUUCUCUAUUUCCUUGAAAAGGUAUUUCAUUUCUUUUUUAUUUAUACCUUCUUUAUCUUUAGUUUUAUCUAGUUAAUCAAUAGUAUCUACCGGCAAAAAAGAGGACGUUUGAAACUUUUAACAGGCGUAAUCGUGAGUCAGCAAGUGACUCGAACUGUGUGUAAAAAAAGAAGACUCCCGCUCUCAACCCAUGAACAAUAUGAGUCCGAAGCUUCUUUCGUAACUCCCAUAAUUUCUUCGUAGAGGCUCCGUUCCAUGCCUCAUUUCAUAGGGAAGCCCAAAGUGGCUCUAUUUCACUUCCUCUUUUAUCUGGUGAAUAUCCAACAAGAGGUUCCAUUGAAUGAAUAACGGAUCCGGAUCCCAAGAACAAUAAAGCUUUUGAAUAAGCAUGAGUUAUCAAAUGGAAUAAAGCAGCUUGAUAAGAACAUAUACCUAGAGCUAACAUCAUAUAACCCAAUUGAGACAUUGUAGUUCAUUUAUGAAUUUCAUAGUAAUAGAAAUCCAUGUCCUACCGAGACAGAAUUUAGAACUUGCUAUCCUCUUGCCUAAAGAAAAGGAGGUUCAUGGCCAAGGGAAAAGAUGUUAGAAUUAGAGUUAUUUUGGAAUGCAUCAGUUGUGUUUGAAAAGGUGCCAAUGAGGAAUCGACGGGGAAAAGCCGGUGGUUUCUUGGUCACGACCAGCUAAAACGAAAGUUCCAUUAAAGAGCGUUUCCACGUGGUAGAACCUCCUCAGGGAAUAUAAGAUUUUCAUGAGGCUGAUCCUGAGAUGCCAUCCACGCACGAAUACCCUCGUUUAAAAGAAUAUUUUUGGUGUAGAAAGUCUCAAAUUCAGGAUCUUCCGCUGCACGGAUUUCCUGGGAAACAAAGUCAUAGGCACGUAAAGUGACUACGAAUUCCCCUUUUUAUUUGCGAAUCCCUGUUUGUAUCCAGUAAAUGGAAAUUUCAUUGAUAAGACUGAAGGAAAUAUGCCCUAGAGGCAAUAAUAAAGUUAUUAUUUAUUUCCUUAUUUCCUGAUAAAUGUUUAUUAUUCAUGCUAGAAUUGUAUUAACCGGAAACAUAAUACCUGUGUGAAUACAUAGACAAACAGAGUGUCACUAGUAUGCCUCUACUUGACUAGCUCGUUGAUCAAAGAUGGUUAUGUUUCCUAGCCAUAGACACGAGUUGUCAUUUGAUUAACGGGAUCACAUUAUUAGGAGAAUGAUGUGAUUGACUUGACCCAUUCCGUUAGCUUAGCACUUGAUCGUUUAGUAUAUUGCUAUUGCUUUCUUCAUGACUUAUACAUGUUCCUAUGACUAUGAGAUUAUGCAACUCCCGUUUACCGGAGGAACACUUUGUGUGCUACCAAACGUCACAACGUAACUGGGUGAUUAUAAAGGUGCUCUACAGGUGUCUCCGAAGGUACUUGUUGGGUUGGCGUAUUUCGAGAUUAGGAUUUGUCACUCCGAUUGUCGGAGAGGUAUCUCUGGGCCCUCUCGGUAAUGCACAUCACUUAAGCCUUGCAAGCAUUGCAACUAAAGAGUUUGUUGCAAGAUGAUGUAUUUCGGAACGAGUAAAGAGACUUGCCGGUAACGAGAUUGAACUAGGUAUUGAGAUACCGACGAUCGAAUCUCGGGCAAGUAACAUACCGAUGACAAAGGGAACAACGUAUGUUGUUAUGCGGUCUGACCGAUAAAGAUCUUCAUAGAAUAUGUGGGAGCCAAUAUGAGCAUCCAGGAUCCGCUAUUGGUUAUUGACCGGAGACGUGUCUCGGUCAUGUCUACAUAGUUCUCGAACCCGUAGGGUCCGCACGCUUAACGUUACGAUGACAGUUAUAUUAUGAGUUUAUAUGUUUUGAUGUACCGAAGGUUGUUCGGAGUCCCGGAUGUGAUCACGGACAUGACGAGGAGUCUCGAAAUGGUCGAGACAUAAAGAUUGAUAUAUUGGACGACUAUAUUCGGACACCGGAAAUGUUCCGGGUGAUUUCGGAGAAAACCGGAGUGCCGGAGGGUUACCGGAACCCCCCGGGAGAAGUAAUGGGCCUUAUGGGCCUUAGUGGAGAGAGAGAGGGGCAGCUAGGAGGGGCCGCGCGCCCCCUCCCCCUCUGGUCCGAAUUGGACUAGGAGAGGGGGGGCGGCGCCCCCCUUUCCUUCUCCCUCUCCCCCUUCCUUUCCCCCUCCUAGUAGGAGUAGGAAAGAGGGGGGUCCUACUCCUACUAGGAGGAGGCGGACUCCUCCUGGCGCGCCAACAAGGGCCGGCCGGCCUCCCCCUUGCUCCUUUAUAUACGGGGCAGGGGGGCACCCCAUAGACACAACAAUUGAUCUAUUGAUCUCUUAGCCGUGUGCGGUGCCCCCCCCACCAUAUUACACCUCGAUAAUAUCGUAGCGGUGCUUAGGCGAAGCCCUGCGUCGGUAGAACAUCAUCAUCGUCACCACGCCGUCGUGCUGACGAAACUCUCCCUCAACACUCGGCUGGAUCGGAGUUCGAGGGACGUCAUCGAGCUGAACGUGUGCUGAACUCGGAGGUGCCGUACGUUCGGUACUUGAUCGGUCGGAUCGUGAAGACCUACGACUACAUCAACCGCGUUGUGUUAACGCUUCCGCUUUCGGUCUAUGAGGGUACGUAGACAACACUCUCCCCUCUCGUUGCUAUGCAUCACCAUGAUCUUGCGUGUUCGUAGGAAAAUUUUGAAAUUACUACGUUCCCCAACAGUGGCAUCCGAGCCUGGUUUUAUGCGUUGAUGUUAUGCACGAGUAGAACACAAGUGAGUUGUGGGCGAUAUAAGUCAUACUGCUUACCAGCAUGUCAUACUUUGGUGCGACGGUAUUGUGAGAUGAAGCGGCCCGGACCGACAUUACGCGUACGCUUACGCGAGACUGGUUUCACCGUUGCGAGCACUCGUUGCUUAAAGGUGACCGGCGGGUGUCUGUCUCUCUCACUUUAGUUGAACCGAGUGUGGCUACGCCCGGCCCUUGCGAAGGUUAAAACAGCACCAACUUGACAAACUAUCGUUGUGGUUUUGAUGCGUAGGUAAGAACGGUUCUUGCUAAGCCCGUAGCAGCCACGUAAAACUUGCAACAACAAAGUAGAGGACGUCUAACUUGUUUUUGCAGGGCAUGUUGUGAUGUGAUAUGGUCAAGACAUGAUACUGAAUUUUAUUGUAUGAGAUGAUCAUGUUUUGUAACCGAGUUAUCGGCAACUGGCAGGAGCCAUAUGGUUGUCGCUUUAUUGUAUGCAAUGCAAUCGCCAUGUAAUUGUUUUACUUUAUCACUAAGCGGUAGCGAUAGUCGUAGAAGCAAUAGUUGGCGAGACGACAACGAUGCUUCGAUGGAGAUCAAGGUGUCACGCCGAUGACGAUGGUGAUCAUGACGGUGCUUCGGAGAUGGAGAUCACAAGCACAAGAUGAUGAUGGCCAUAUCAUAUCACUUAUAUUGAUUGCAUGUGAUGUUUAUCUUUUAUGCAUCUUAUCUUGCUUUGAUUGACGGUAGCAUUAUAAGAUGAUCCUUCACUAAAUUAUCAAAGUAUAAGUGUUCUCCCUGAGUAUGCACCGUUGCGAAAGUUCUUCAUGCUGAGACACCACGUGAUGAUCGGGUGUGAUAGGCUCUACGUUCAAAUACAACGGGUGCAAAACAGUUGCACACGCGGAAUACUCAGGUUAAACUUGACGAGCCUAGCAUAUAACAGAUAUGGCCUCGGAACACGGAGACCGAAAGGUCGAGCGUGAAUCAUAUAGUAGAUAUGAUCAACAUAGUGAUGUUCACCGUUGAAACUACUCCAUCUCACGUGAUGAUCGGACAUGGUUUAGUUGAUAUGGAUCACGUGAUCACUUAGAGGAUUAGAGGGAUGUCUAUCUAAGUGGGAGUUCUUAAGUAAUAUGAUUAAUUGAACUUGAAUUUAUCAUGAACUUAGUACCUGAUAGUAUUUUGCUUGUCUAUGUUAAUUGUCGAUAGAUGGCCCGUGCUGUUGUUCCGUUGAAUUUUAAUGCGUUCCUUGAGAAAGCAAAGUUGAAAGAUGAUGGUAGCAAUUACACGGACUGGGUCCGUAACUUGAGGAUUAUCCUCAUUGCUGCACAGAAGAAUUACGUCCUGGAAGCACCGCUGGGUGCCAGGCCUACUGCAGGAGCAACACCAGAUGUUAUGAACGUCUGGCAGAGCAAAGCUGAUGACUACUCGAUAGUUCAGUGUGCCAUGCUUUACGGCUUAGAACCGGGUCUUCAACGACGUUUUGAACGUCAUGGAGCAUAUGAGAUGUUCCAGGAGUUGAAGUUAAUAUUUCAAGCAAAUGCCCGGAUUGAGAGAUAUGAAGUCUCCAAUAAGUCCUACAUCUGCAAGAUGGAAGAGAAUAGUUCUGUCAGUGAGCAUAUACUCAAAAUGUGUGGGUAUAACAAUCACUUGAUUCAACUGGGAGUUAAUCUUCCGGAUGAUAGCGUCAUUGACAGAAUUCUUCAAUCACUGCCACCAAGCUACAAGAGCUUCGUGAUGAACUAUAAAAUGCAAGGGGUGGAUAAGACGAUUCCCAAGCUCUUCGCAAUGCUAAAGGCUGCGGAGGUAGAAAUCAAAAAGGAGCAUCAAGUGUUGAUGGUCAAUAAGACCACUAGUUUCAAGAAAAAGGGUAAAGGGAAGAAGAAGGGGAACUUCAAGAAGAACAGCAAACAAGUUCCUGCUCAGGAGAAGAAACCCAAGUCUGGACCUAAGCCUGAGACUGAGUGCUUCUACUGCAAGUAGACUGGUCACUGGAAGCGGAACUGCCCCAAGUAUUUGGCGGAUAAGAAGGAUGGCAAGGUGAACAAAGGUAUAUGUGAUAUACAUGUUAUUGAUGUGUACCUUACUAAUGCUCGCAGUAGCACCUGGGUAUUUGAUACUGGUUCUGUUGCUAAUAUUUGCAACUCGAAACAGGGGCUACGGAUUAAGCGAAGAUUGGCUAAGGACGAGGUGACGAUGCGCGUGGGAAAUGGUUCCAAAGUCGAUGUGAUCACGGUCGGCACGCUACCUCUACAUCUACCUUCGGGAUUAGUUUUAGACCUAAAUAAUUGUUAUUUGGUGCCAGCGUUAAGCAUGAACAUUAUAUCUGGAUCUUGUUUGAUGCGAGAUGGUUAUUCAUUUAAAUCAGAGAAUAAUGGUUGUUCUAUUUAUAUGAGUAAUAUCUUUUAUGGUCAUGCACCCUUGAAGAGUGGUCUAUUUUUGUUGAAUCUCGAUAGUAGUGAUACACAUAUUCAUAAUAUUGAAGCCAAAAGAUGCAGAGUUGAUAAUGAUAGUGCAACUUAUUUGUGGCACUGCCGUUUAGGUCAUAUCGGUGUAAAGCGCAUGAAGAAACUCCAUACUGAUGGACUUUUGGAACCACUUGAUUAUGAAUCACUUGGUACUUGCGAACCGUGCCUCAUGGGCAAGAUGACUAAAACACCGUUCUCCGGAACUAUGGAGAGAGCAACAGAUUUGUUGGAAAUCAUACAUACAGAUGUAUGUGGUCCGAUGAAUAUUGAGGCUCGUGGCAGAUAUCGUUAUUUUCUCACCUUUACAGAUGAUUUGAGCAGAUAUGGGUAUAUCUACUUAAUGAAACAUAAGUCUGAAACAUUUGAAAGGUUCAAAGAAUUUCAGAGUGAAGUUGAAAAUCAUCGUAACAAGAAAAUAAAGUUUCUACGAUCAGAUCGUGGAGGAGAAUAUUUGAGUUACGAGUUUGGUCUACAUUUGAAACAAUGCGGAAUAGUUUCGCAACUCACGCUACCCGGAACACCACAACGUAAUGGUGUGUCCGAACGUCGUAAUCCUACUUUACUAGAUAUGGUGCGAUCUAUGAUGUCUCUUACUGAUUUACCGCUAUCGUUUUGGGGUUAUGCUUUAGAGACAGCUGCAUUCACGUUAAAUAGGGCACCAUCAAAAUCCGUUGAGACGAUGCCUUAUGAACUGUGGUUUAGCAAGAAACCAAAGUUGUCGUUUCUUAAAGUUUGGGGCUGCGAUGCUUAUGUGAAAAAACUUCAACCUGAUAAGCUCGAACCCAAAUCGGAGAAAUGUGUCUUCAUAGGAUAUCCAAAGGAGACUAUUGGGUACACCUUCAAUCACAGAUCCGAAGGCAAAACUUUUGUUGCUAAAUUCGGAAAUUUUCUGGAGAAGGAGUUUCUCUCGAAAGAAGUGAAUGGGAGGAAAGUAGAACUUGAUGAGGUAACUGUACCUGCUCCCUUAUUGGAAAGUAGUUUAUCACAGAAACCAGUUGCUGUGACACCAACGCCAAUUAGUGAGGAAGUUAAUGAUGAUGAUCAUGAAACUUCAGAUCAAGUUAUUACUGAACCUUGUAGAUCAACCAGAGUAAGAUCCGCACCAGAGUGGUACGGUAAUCCUGUUCUGGAGGUUAUGUUACUAGACCAUGACGAACCUACGAACUAUGAAGAAGCGAUGGUGAGCCCAGAUUCCGCAAAAUGGCUUGAGGCCAUGAAAUCCGAGAUGGGAUCCAUGUAUGAGAACAAAGUAUGGACUUUGGUUGACUUGCCCGAUGAUCGGCAAGCCAUUGAAAAUAAAUGGAUCUUCAAAAAGAAGACUGACACUGACGGUAAUGUUACUGUCUAUAAAGCUCGACUUGUUGCGAAAGGUUUUCGACAAGUUCAGGGGAUUGACUACGAUGAGACCUUCUCACCCGUAGCGAUGCUUAAGUCUGUCCGAAUCAUGUUAGCAAUUGCCGCAUUUUAUGAUUAUGAAAUUUGGCAAAUGGAUGUCAAAACUGCAUUCCUGAAUGGAUUUCUGGAAGAAGAGUUGUAUAUGAUGCAACCGGAAGGUUUUGUCGAUCCAAAGGAAGCUAACAAAGUGUGCAAGCUCCAGCGAUCCAUUUAUGGAUUGGUGCAAGCCUCUCGGAGUUGGAAUAAACGCUUUGAUAGUGUGAUCAAAGCAUUUGGCUUUAUGCAGACUUUUGGAGAAGCCUGUAUUUACAAGAAAGUGAGUGGGGGCUCUGUAGCAUUUCUGAUAUUAUAUGUGGAUGACAUAUUGCUGAUUGGAAAUGAUAUAGAAUUUCUGGAUAGCAUAAAGGGAUACUUGAAUAAGAUUUUUUCAAUGAAAGACCUCGGUAAAGCUGCGUAUAUAUUGGGCAUCAAGAUUUAUAGAGAUAGAUCAAGACGCUUAAUUGGACUUUCACAAAGCACAUACCUUGACAAAGUUUUGAAAAAGUUCAAAAUGGAUCAAGCAAAGAAAGGGUUCUUGCCUGUGUUACAAGGUGUGAAAUUGAGUAAGACUCAAUGCCCGACCACUGCAGAAGAUAGAGAGAAGAUGAAAGAUGUUCCCUAUGCUUCAGCCAUAGGCUCUAUUAUGUAUGCAAUGCUGUGUACCAGACCUGAUGUAUGCCUUGCUAUAAGUCUAGCAGGAAGGUACCAAAGUAAUCCAGGAGUGGAUCACUGGACAGCGGUCAAGAACAUCCUGAAAUGCCUGAAAAGGACUAAGGAUAUGUUUCUCGUUUAUGGAGGUGACAAAGAGCUCAUCGUAAAUGGUUACGUCGAUGCAAGCUUUGACACUGAUCCGGACGAUUCUAAAUCGCAAACCGGAUACGUGUUUACAUUGAACGGUGGAGCUGUCAGUUGGUGCAGUUCUAAACAAAGCGUCGUGGCGGGAUCUACGUGUGAAGCGGAGUACAUAGCUGCUUCGGAAGCAGCAAAUGAAGGAGUCUGGAUGAAGGAGUUCAUAACCGAUCUAGGUGUCAUACCUAGUGCAUCGGGUCCAAUGAAAAUCUUUUGUGACAAUACUGGUGCAAUUGCCUUAGCAAAGGAAUCCAGAUUUCACAAGAGAACCAAGCACAUCAAAAGACGCUUCAAUUCCAUCCGGGAUUUAGUCCAGGUGGGAGACAUAGAAAUUUGCAAGAUACAUACGGAUCUGAAUGUUGCAAACCCGUUGACUAAGCCUCUUCCACGAGCAAAACAUGAUCACCACCAAGGCUCCAUGGGUGUAAGAAUCAUUACUGUGUAAUCUAGAUUAUUGACUCUAGUGCAAGUGGGAGAUUGAAGGAAAUAUGCCGUAGAGGCAAUAAUAAAGUUAUUAUUUAUUUCCUUAUUUCAUGAUAAAUGUUUAUUAUUCAUGCUAGAAUUGUAUUAACCGGAAACAUAAUACCUGUGUGAAUACAUAGACAAACAGAGUGUCACUAGUAUGCCUCUACUUGACUAGCUCGUUGAUCAAAGAUGGUUAUGUUUCCUAGCCAUAGACAUGAGUUGUCAUUUGAUUAACGGGAUCACAUUAUUAGGAGAAUGAUGUGAUUGACUUGACCCAUUCCGUUAGCUUAGCACUUGAUCGUUUAGUAUAUUGCUAUUGCUUUAUUCAUGACUUAUACAUGUUCCUAUGACUAUGAGAUUAUGCAACUCCCGUUUACCGGACGAGCACUUUGUGCGCUAUCAAACGUCACAACGUAACUGGGUGAUUAUAAAGGUGCUCUACAGGUGUCUCCGAAGGUACUUGUUGGGUUGGCGUAUUUCGAGAUUAGGAUUUGUCACUCCGAUUGUCGGAGAGGUAUCUCUGGGCCCUCUCAGUAAUGCACAUCGCUUAAGCAUUGCAACUAAAGAGUUUGUUGCAAGAUGAUGUAUUACGGAACGAGUAAAGAGACUUGUCGGUAACGAGAUUGAACUAGGUAUUGAGAUACCGACGAUCGAAUCUCGGGCAAGUAACAUACCGAUGACAAAGGGAACAACGUAUGUUGUUAUGCGGUCUGACCGAUAAAGAUCUUCGUAGAAUAUGUGGGAGCCAAUAUGAGCAUCCAGGUUCCGCUAUUGGUUAUUGACCGGAGACGUGUCUCGGUCAUGUCUACAUAGUUCUCGAACCCGUAGGGUCCGCACGCUUAACGUUACGAUGACAGUUAUAUUAUGAGUUUAUAUGUUUUGAUGUACCGAAGGUUGUUCGGAGUCCCGGAUGUGAUCACGGACAUGACGAGGAGUCUCGAAAUGGUCGAGACAUAAAGAUUGAUAUAUUGGACGACUAUAUUCGGACACCGGAAAUGUUCCGGGUGAUUUCGGAGAAAACCGGAGUGCCGGAGGGUUACCGGAACCCCCCCGGGAGAAGUAAUGGGCCUUAUGGGCCUUAGUGGAGAGAGAGAGGGGCAGCUAGGAGGGGCCGCGCGCCCCCUCCCCCUCUGGUCCGAAUUGGACUAGGAGAGGGGGGGCGGCGCCCCCCUUUCCUUCUCCCUCUCCCCCUUCCUUUCCCCCUCCUAGUAGGAGUAGGAAAGAGGGGGGUCCUACUCCUACUAGGAGGAGGCGGACUCCUCCUGGCGCGCCAACAAGGGCCGGCCGGCCUCCCCCUUGCUCCUUUAUAUACGGGGGCAGGGGCACCCCAUAGACACAACAAUUGAUCUAUUGAUCUCUUAGCCGUGUGCGGUGCCCCCCUCGACCAUAUUACACCUCGAUAAUAUCGUAGCGGUGCUUAGGCGAAGCCCUGCGUCGGUAGAACAUCAUCAUCGUCACCACGCCGUCGUGCUGACGAAACUCUCCCUCAACACUCGGCUGGAUCGGAGUUCGAGGGACGUCAUCGAGCUGAACGUGUGCUGAACUCGGAGGUGUCGUACGUUCGGUACUUGAUCGGUCGGAUCGUGAAGACGUACGACUACAUCAACCGCGUUGUGUUAACGCUUCCGCUUUCGGUCUACGAGGGUACGUGGACAACACUCUCCCCUCUCGUUGCUAUGCAUCACCAUGAUCUUGCGUGUUCGUAGGAAAAUUUUGAAAUUACUACGUUCCCCAACAAAGACCUCCUCAAUUGUAGCCAAUAUUUUAUUGCGAAUAAUUCCGACAACCUCAGGAGAAAAAAAGGCAUUUACUUAUUAUAGAGAUGGUGCGGUUUGACUCUUUUUUUGCUUUUUUUAGCCCUACCUAUACCUCAGUCUUACGGGUUGUCUUCCCCAGCAACAGGCUCGAUGUGACAGCAUCGUCCUUUGUAACGAUCAAGACUGGUAAGUCCAUCAGUCCAAACAGUUGUCCAUGUACCAGUAGAAGAUUCGGCAGCUACUGCAGCCCCUGCUUCUUCGGGCGGAACCCCAGGCUGAGGACUUACUCGGAAUGCUGCCAAGAUAUCAGUAUCCUUAGUUUCAUACUCUAGGGUGUAGUAAGUCAAUUUAUAAUCUUUAACACCAGCUUUAAAUCCAACACCUGCUUUAGUUUCUGUUUGUGGUGACAUAAGUCCCUCCCUAUAACUCUUGAAUUAAGAAUUCUCACAAUAACAGGGUCUACUCGAUGUUAAUUAGGCGUAAAUGAAACUUUAGCAAAAAUCUCGUAAAACAAAAAGGAUAUUCAAUUAAUAUAAUAUCAACUCAUUAAAGAAAAUUGAGGGCAUGCUUAGGUUAAUGAAUAUGUUUCAUUCAUAUAUAAUGCGUACACCCUGUGUAUGUUCUAUCCUAUAGGAAUUCCACUAUAGGAAUUCGAUAGGAAUUGAGUUGUUGUUAUGGUAAGNNNNNNNNNNGGGGGGGGGUAGUCCUAUGCAUUGUGCAUGGUUUACUUAAAUAAAACUUAAAAAUAGAGUGAAUAACCAAGAUUUCUCGCCGACACUCUAAUAAAAAAGAAAUCUAUUCAAUGAAUAGGAUAAGAUCCAUUGAGUUCUCUUCGCAUUCCUUUGUGAAAGAGUAGAAUGAGAAAGCUAAUGAAUCUUAAACCCAUCCAAAUGGGAUAAGAGAAUUCUUAUUAGUCUCUUUCUUUAUCUCAAUUGAAGAAGUAGUUGGAAAAUAAAACAGCAAGUACAAAAAUGAGUAAUAAACCCCAGUAUAGACUGGUACGAUUCAGCGGAAGUUGCGGGUUCGAGCCCCGUCAGUCCCGAACUAGGGUUGAAUGAAUGGAGAAAUUGAUAUUUCCUUUUUCCAUGAAAAAAAGGGGCAGGGAGCAAGAUCAAAUACCCACAGGGCACCCUUAUGAGCCUCGUGGAGAAGCAAUCGCUAGUCCAUGGGGCUCAUACUUCAGCGCUGCAGCGCUUGGUACUCGGACCUCGGCUCGAGGCAUUUUCUCUACCCCUUCUUACCCUGAAAAAGCAGGGUCACCUUGUGUCCUUAAACCUAUAACCAUCUUUCGGCUGUGUAUGAAUCACUCACCUAUUCUUCCGAAUUAUAUGUAUCUGCGAGAUUAAUUUUUGGUUUCGAUGUGCAAAAACAAAUGAAAUGAAAAUGAAUUGAUAAAACAUUCCUAAAAAAAUUCUGUCACUUAUACUUUAUGUUAUGAUAUUCUAAUCAGAUUGGAUGGCAAAGAGUAAAGAAGGCAAUGCUUUUUUUUCAUUUUUGAUCUGUAAAUGGAGUUGUUAAUGAAUAUGCUUCAUUCGCUGACUCUAUUCCAUUCCCUGACCUUCUUUCUCCAAUCUUGGAUUAGGGAAGAAGGAGAUAUUCGUGACUACUGGCGAUUUCAUUAUGGGGCAGCUCAUGAUCUUAGGAAUUCUUCUAUAAUUUAAAUGACUCAAUAAAAGCUUUUUUUUAUUCUUUUAGUUACUGAUUAUUAUUUUUGGAUUUCACUCCACCCGUGGUUGGGAACUAGUAAUUCGUUGGGUCUACAACGAUUUUGGAUGGGCUCCUAACGAGCUUAUUUUCACUAUUUUUGUUUGUAGUUUUCCAGUAAUUCUAGAUACAUGUUUGAAAUUUUGGGUCGUGGCAAUUCCACCCAGAAGGUAAUGGGUUACUCCUACAGCGCGUCCUUGUAUAAUGCUCAAGGCUCUAGGCUGAGUAGCAGGAGCAACUUUUAAUUUGUUAUGAGCCCAAACGAUAGAUUCAAUGAGUUCUUGCCAAUAACCACGGCCGCUGGUUUCAUGUUACGCCAAUUUGAAUUUGCUCGGUCUGUUCAAUUGCGGCCUUAUAAUGCAAUCUCAUUAUCUGGUCCAAUUGCUGUUUUUGUAAUCGAUCUUAUUGCAAAACCAAUGUCUUACUUCAUAGAUUCGAGAGAAUAGGAGAACAGUAGCCUGACAAACAGUCGGUUCAGUCCGAUUCAGGUGCCAAUCUGAUAUUAUAGUGCCAGUGUAGAUAGAAAUUCCCUUAUGAUCUAAUUCUGAGCGGUAGUAAAUACCAGGACGUAGCAAUAUUUGAUUGAUCACAAUUCGGUGUCUUCCCCAGCAACAGGCUCGAUGUGAUAGCAUCGUCCUUUGUAACGAUCAAGACCGGUAAUUCCAUCAGUCCAAACAGUUGUCCAUGUACCAGUAGAAGAUUCGGCAGCUACUGCAGCCCCUGCUUCUUCGGGCAGAGGGAAUUUCCGGUGGAGCGGUGAAAUGCAUGGAGAUCGGAAAGAACACCAACGGCGAAGACUUAAAGAUAUUUUGGAGGCUCACAAGGGCCCAUUUACAGGACAAGGCGACCUUCAACAAAAGGGUACCUGUACCCGAAACCGACACAGGAGGGUAGGUAGAGAAUACCUAGGGGCGCGAGACAACUCUCUCUAAGGAACUCGGCAAAAUAGCCCCGUAACUUCGGGAGAAGGGGUGCCCCCUCACAAAAGGGGGCCGCAGUGACCAGGCCCGGGCGACUGUUUACCAAAAACACAGGUCUCCGCAAAGUCGUAAGGGAAUCCAUCAAAAUAAUUCAAUAAGCUGUAGAAAAAAUUCCUGGAGGACCUUAUGAGAAUUUAGAAGUCCGACGCUUUAAGAAAGAAAAGAAUUCUGAAUGGAAUGAUUUUGAUUAUAAAUUUCUUGGUAAAAAACCUUCGCCCGGACUUUGUAUCGACUAAAGUAUAUACUUCGACUUUCAUGCGCUAGAACUUUAGCUCGUAAACAUAAAAGCACGGUGCGAACUUUUAUGCAACGAUUGGGGGUCGUCUCGGAGGAAAAGAAAUUGCACGCGCCGAAUCUAUUAAAAAGGGUAGACUUCCCCUCCAAACAAUUCGCGCUAAAAUUGAUUAUUGCUGCUAUCCAAUUCGGACUAUCUAUGGAGUAUUAGGGUGUUAAAGAUUAUAAAUUGACUUACUACACCCCAGAGUAUGAAACUAAGGAUACUGAUAUCUUGGCAGCAUUCCGAGUAAGUCCUCAGCCUGGGGUUCCGCCCGAAGAAGCAGGGGCUGCAGUAGCUGCCGAAUCUUCUACUGGUACAUGGACAACUGUUUGGACUGAUGGACUUACCAGUCUUGAUCGUUACAAAGGACGAUGCUAUCACAUCGAGCCUGUUGUUGGGGGGUUCUUCUCCUACCAGUAUCGAAUAGAACAUGCUGAACAAGAUCUUCUUCAUGGAAACCUGCUCGAUUUAGAUCGGGAAAAUCGUACAGAUUUUAUGAAACCAUGUGCGAUGGCUCAAAUCCAUAGUCAAUCCUACUUUCGAUAGGACCAGUUGACAAUUGAAUGGGAGCAGCCUAAACCGUGAAAACAGGGUUGUGGGAGAGCAAUACAAGCGUUGCGCUGCUAGGCGAAGCGGUUGAGUGCCGCACCCUAGAUGGCCGCUUAUGUAAUAGAGCCGAUCCACUAAGGGAUUAAGCAGCGGUGUAGUAUCAGAUCCCAAAGAUAGUAAGUUCUUUUUUCUUUCUUAUGGAAAAAAGUCCCUUGCAAAGGUAUCUCGGCGGGAUCAAAUAUAUGACGAGAUUGCCAGACAUUGUGAUCGUCCUUGAUCAGCAAAAAGUGUUUCGGAUAUAUUUACUUACAUUUGAUGGGUAUUUGCGUGUUCAUUUUCAAAAUUACAGUAGCACUAAAGAGAGUUCCUGCUUGAACAAAACGAAAGAUAUUAUCGAUAAAUAAAAGCACGUCUUGCUAAUUAACAUCUCGAAAAUAUUCCGCCAUAGUUAGGGCAGUCGUACUGUGCUUUCCAAAGAGCAACUCUUCUCAAAAUCUCAAAACAAAAGGUGCUGAGUUGGAAUUCGAACGAGCACUCGAAAAGAUUCUGGAGGAUCCUCAUGAUUAGGUUUUUUUCCCAGAUCGUAGCAUUAAGUAUUUCUUGGCACCAAAAUCCCCGGGUUCCGCGGGGUAAAUCCAUUAAAAAGGACAAAUUUUAGCAGAAGGUUUCGAGAACCUUUUAGAAGUUCUACCCAUAUGUGUUCUGAUCGCCAAUUCAUAUUAGAUAUACUAAAUCCAGAAGCGGUCGAUUGAAAUUGAGUCAAUCCAUAACAUCCCUUAUUCAAUCCAUAAUCAAGAAUAAUUAGGAUUUCUAAAAAAAAAGAAAAAAUAAAGGGUCCACUCAUAGGAAGAAACUUAAGGCCACUCUUCCUCCGGGCUUUCUUUCCGCACUAUUAUGGAUAGUUAAAUAAUGGGAAAAUUGGAUUCAAUUGUCAACUGGUCCUAUCGAAAGUAGGCUGCUCCAAGUAUAAUUUCCAGGCGUUCCGUAUACGAACCUCUUCAAACAGGGCUUAUUGCUAUCGAUUCGAUGAUCCCUAUAGGGCGUGGUCAGCGAGAGUUAAUUAUUGGGGACAGACAUACUGGCAAAACAGCUGGCGGACCUGCCGCGCAAGAUCUUUGGUCUUUCCCUGGAACCGAUAAAAAAAGUGGAUCGCUUCUUAUGUACUCGCCGUAGCACGAGGGCACCGGCCCAACGACCAGCAACCCAUGAAGAGACUAGGUCCAUAAACGAGGGUGGGAAACAAACGAAAUCACCACCACCGUUGUCGGCGUACCCGCAGGCAACUCCUAACCUCCACCGCCCGACAUCUGAUAGCACGACCAGACCACAGCACCUCUACGGAGGUAGAACGAUGCCUGCCGGAAGGAGUAUUUUCAUUUGCUUCCGGCUGGAGUGGCCGACUACUACGAGCGACCUGCCGCAUGCGUGCUCGUGCGUCGCAUGAUAAAGACGGCGAGGAGUCGUCCUCGGAGUAGUAAACUUUGCCGCUAAAUACACUUGGAUGGAACGUCAACACAUCCAAAGAGAAUAUCCGAUGUACUUUACAGCAGUUAGCUUGAGUGGGGCAAAAGACAUGAACGAUGGUGAAUUUGAACCGCUUCCUUUCUGCGAUCGACAGGUAGUACUAAAAAUCACGAAAAAAGACGACCGCUGGACGCAUCGGUCCAACGGGAGUCAAUAAAAUCACCAAAUCUUAAAGUCAGCUGAAGUAGAAGAAACAGGGCAAGCUGGCAUGGGGACUAUCAUACGGGACUGCCGUGGCGCCGAAUUUCCUUGCCUUGACGGACCUUUUUCUCUUCUUUUUUCACAAUGUCGGGAGAGAGAGUGUAAUUUUAACAGGUGCAGGUAAUUGCUCCGGCACAUCAUUCAUGACAUCAACGUGACGGCAUGCGGAAUCACAUGUUUAGAGCAUCUACAGCCGGACUUCCUAAACCCUCUUCGAACGCUCGGGCGGUCUGCCCCAUCACUGACCGGUCACGAUUUUUUGACCCGGACGGACGGCUCAAACGGGCCUCAAACGCUCAGGCUGACCGGCACCCCUCAUAUCCAGCCCAAGUAAGAGGCGGAUACGGGGGCGCCCGGGCACUUCCGUCACGUCGGACCUGGCCCAUGCUAGCCCACCCGACCCCACAUAUAUGCCUCUCCAUCCGCUCACCGGACCAAACCCUACCCACUUCACUUCACUCCCCUCCGCCACUCGAGCUCACCUCGACGGUUUUCGACCUUCUCCGGCAUGGCAGGCAGCGGAUAUGACUCCGACGCGUCUGAAUCCGUCUACUGGGGUGUCAUUCCGUGCAGGUUGAAGGAGAGGAUAAGGGGCGCCGCGACUCCAUAGUGUCUGCUCAAUGGGCGAUCGGGUCCUCGGGGGGUGGAUCCUCGAGGUCUAGGCAGCCGGAAGCCCUCUCCUUCCGCAUCACCGGGCGGGCAGACUAUGAGUCCCACCGGGAAUGGGCGGCCCGCCGUGGAAGGAGAGGAUAAGGGCCGCCGAGGCCCGUAUCGCGGCGGAAAUGGCAGCGGCGGAGGCGGCUGAUGCGGCGGCACGGGCGGCCACAGAGGAGGAAGCCAUUCGUGUCGGUAUUGGAAGAAAUAGCAGCGGAGGAACACACGCGCCCUCGCCUGAGAGCAGAAUCAGGCGGUCUGUGCCAUGACCGGACUGCCACCAAAGGAGGACAGCGACAGCGAGGACAGCUCUGGCGACGAGCAAAUUCGGCUCGACCCGUACUGCGUCUUGGACCGGUACUUCCGCGAGAAGGACGGCAAGGGCGCCGGGAAGGACAAGGGCAUCCGUGGAUGAACUCCACCAUAGCCAAGCAUGCCAAAUUUUGGUAGACCGAUGGCAUGUUUAGUUAGUAGUGAUGGAGUAGCCGGACAAUGUGUGUGCAUUGACGUAGUUGUACGAGUUUGUAUGGAUUUGAGAUAUGAUAAUUGAGGUGUUCGGAUAUGGAUUGCAUUAUUUAAGAGGUGCCCGGUCAGUGCCAGCGAACGCGCGGCCGGAUUUGCCCAUCACGGCUGUAGAUGCUCUUGGGACGAUAUGUUGAGCGUGCGUGCCAUAUGGUUCACCGUUUUAAAAUUGCAAAAAAGAAUUACUUGCAUGCUGCCUUCUCCUAGGCUAGCUCGCAGUGCUCGAUCGGCGACCACCCGCUGUCGCUGCUUUCCUACCGACGUCACGUUAGUGGAUCAGGAUCGAGUCAUCGGGCACUCCGACCAGCCAUGCACGCAUGCUGCAUGCAACUGGUGCAAUGAAACGGCGGGCUCGCGCCGUGCAGCUCCUCACGUACGAGUACGUGGAUGCAACGAAUGGACUUGGACUCGACUUCCGGGGAGAGACGGCCGGCGACCGGCGACGUGGCUACUUCCGGUCGGCUGAUUGACUAUAUCCAGUCCAGCAGCGUCCGCUCCAAGUUGAAGCACCACGGCGUCGACUCGAGUCGACUGGGCACGUGUGUUGCGUGGUCACUCCUCUGGACUGGAGCGGCCGACGUGCGACUUUCUUGCAACUUCCAAGUGUCACUCCGCGGCGCGCGUUUAAACACGUACGGCGUGGACUCGUGGUCGAUCGGAACGGAGUACGUGGUAAACUUCGCUACCACUACGUAUAUAUUCUCCUAAGCAAACUUGGCUGCUAAGCAUAUACAACUACGUAUACAAAGGAACAUCAACACGUCCACGUAGGAAAAACAUGCGUGGUGACUGGUCAGUACGUACUCCUUUACCACAAGUCUCUCGAACGGGCCAAGAAGAUGCAUGGACGGCGUGAUCGGUUCGAAUCCGUUACUGCUUUGUACGAUAUACCGCUUUUCAAGGAUACACUGCUUGCUACAUCGACAGGUCCUGAUAGGAGAAAUCGCGAAAAAAGCCGUCCGCUGGACAGAGUACGUACGUACAAUGACUUGGGAGUCUGCCGUCUACACUCAUCUUUUUUUUUUCGAAAAAAACUUUUAAUCUAUUCAUCUUCAAUCAUGGUAGUACAACGAACACUGGAAGUAAUAAAAAUUACAUCCAGACCCGUAGACCAUCUAGCGACGACUACAAGCACUGAAGCGAGCCGAAGGCGCGCCGCUGUCAUCGCCCCUCCCUCGCCGGAGCCGGGCAAACCUUGUUGUAGUAGACAGUCGGGAAGUCGUCGUGCUAAGGCCCCGUAGAACCAACGCACCAGAACAGCAACCGUCGCGGAUGAAGAGUGUAGAUCAAAAAGAUCCAACCUGAAAACACACGAACGGAGACGAACGACGAACAGAUCCGAGCAAAUCCACCAAAGACAGAUCCGCCGGAGACACAGCUCCACACGCCCACCAACAAUGCAAGACGCAUCACUGGAACGGGGGCUAGGCGGGGAGACCUUUAUUCCAUCUUCAGAGAGCCGCCACCGUCUCGCCUUCCUGAGCAGGACACAAACCCUAACAAAGCUCCAAAAAAGAUCUAAAAACGGAGCCCUCCCACCUGCAAGGGCCGAGAUCCACUCCGCCUCCAUGGCCAUAGGGCCACCGGAGACGGGAUGGACCGGCGCCGGCGCCGGUGGGAGGCAGAAAGCUAGGGUUUUUGGAGGCGGCGGCUAGGUGUGCGUCCUACUUUGGUUUGUUAUUUUAGUUUAAAGUUAGUUGGUUAAAAAAAGCACGAGCUGUGCUGAGAUCGUCUGCACCCAUCUUGCCUCUAUUGGUCAAGUCGCUUGCACGGGGCGGAGAUCCUGUGUUUAGUUUGUGUCCAAGAUUGCCCCACCAAAGCAUUGGCUAGCCAAAAUUUUGGUUGAGGUUUUUGUUGCUCAUGAUUUGAAUAACAUUAGCAAGAAAAAUUUGUUGAGUAGAGUUUAUUCGCAUGUCAAAAAAUUGACAACCAUUCAAACAAAGAUCAAUCUUUGAGUCAGAGUAAAUUGUAGAAAACCAUCAGUUUAAAGGCUAGGUUUGCAGAAAACACUACAAUACAUUUUUUUUCUUCAAAAAACACUACGUCUUCAGUAAUCUUUUUGCAAAAACCACUGAUCGACGGAUCUGGCUCUGUUAAGCGUGUUUAUGACAGAUGGGGCCCAUUUUCUGCUUACAUGGCGUAACUUUUUGUGCUAGAUGGGGUUUAAUCUAAAAUUACAAACUAGACCCUCAAAUUUUACACAGCCACCCCCAAAUAAAUAAAAAUAAAAAAUGCAAUUGACCACCACCGGAGCUCGUGCAAAUUGGCCUUAUCCCCCGCCCUCGACCUCAUGUUGACCACGGCCGAUCAGCUAUCCCCCACCACCUCAUGUCGUCCUUCUCCUCCCCAAUGCUCCUCCGUGGUGGAACUGCUCCUCCCCGACGAGGAUCUGGAUCGGGGGGCCCUCGUCCUCCUCUGUGGUGGACGUCGUCGUCCUGCCGCCGUGGUCCCGGCCGCGGAACUUUGUGCCGGCGUCGGAGAAGCUGUCCCCUCUGCAUCACUGGAGUGAUCCCGCCUGCUAUGUUCGGCAGCGUGCACAUCCGCGUCGGCGCGAACGCCCACGGCCGCUGCCCAGCUCCGUCGACCAUGGCCAUCGGCGAGAAGGCGGCGUGGGGCUCGCCCGUCUGGCUCCGGCCUCAGGCUCUAAAUCGAGGAUGAUGGCGGCAGCUCAAUCCAGACCGAGGACGGCGGUGGCGAGGCGGAGAAGAGGACAUGGGGCGGAGGCGGGGCGGCCCAGAGCGGUGGCGGGACGGACAAGUCGACAAGGGGUGGCAGCGGCAUGAUCCAGAUCGAUGCUCGCGGUAGGAGUGGCGGUGGCUCGAUCCAAAGAUGGAGCGGGGCCGGCGAAGAUGGGGAAUAGGGGAAGGGCGGACGCUGUAGCCCCAGACGCUCACCACGUCGAGCUGGCCAGGGCAUUCCCGCCAGAUCCGGUGCCCUGCGGGGACGGUGGAGGCCGAUGUGACCGGAUCCGGUUGGGGGCAUGACGACGGCGGCCCGGGGAUGGAGGGGCGGCGCUGAGCUCGUGUGCACGCUUGCCGGCUGCGGCAUGAUUAGAGGGCCUAGGAAGCNNNNNNNNNNNNNNNNNNNNNNNNNNNNNNNNNNNNNNNNNNNNNNNNNNNNNNNNNNNNNNNNNNNNNNNNNNNNNNNNNNNNNNNNNNNNNNNNNNNNNNNNNNNNNNNNNNNNNNNNNNNNNNNNNNNNNNNNNNNNNNNNNNNNNNNNNNNNNNNNNNNNNNNNNNNNNNNNNNNNNNGGGGCUUUUUGCAUUAAACCUAAACCGUUAAUGCCACGUAAGCAGAAAAUGGGCCCAUCUGUCAUAAACACGCUUAACAGAGCCAGAUCCGCCGAUAAGUGGUUUUUACAAAAAGAUUACACAAGACGUGGUGUUUUUUGAAAAAAAAAAUAUGUAAAGUUGUGUUUUCUGCAAACCUAGCCUUCAAAGUGAUGGUUUCAUGCAAUUUACUCCUUUGAGUCAUGAACAAAAUUUUAAUAAGAUACACUUUGACCACAAUCCAAACACACCCCUAAACUUCUCCCGGGACUUGCAGUAAUUUUCAACGCGAGGGAAUCAAACAGCAGAAGAUCGAGAGAGAGGAGAAAGAGACGCGCAAACCACUGGGCACCACCGACGUUCGUACGUAUCGUAACGUAACGUAGGCCUUAUGCCCUUAACAUCACUCACUGUUCAUUCAUCAAACGCAUGCCUCAGCUAGCCAUCAUCAAGGCUAGAUAAACUCUUUUUUGCCAGCUCUCCAAGACUCCAACCAAGCACUAAGAUGUAGUGGAGUAGUAAUUUUUCAUUCUAGCUAUGCAACCAUUCCACUCCGAUCAGUCAUGAGAUUCUGUUCUACUCUGUCUCCCUAGCCCCUACCAAAGCGCACCACGUAUCUACAACAAGACGGAGCCAAGCGGUGCAGACCACGACCACGGAGUGCAAACGCUGCGCACCAUGCAUUACCGCGGAACACACACCCCAGACCCAGAUCCAGAACCAGAGGUGGCAAGCAAAGCAAGCGUGUGAAAUGGAUCAGACCAGGCCACCAACCGUGUCGGACUCUCGGUCACCACGUAAGACGGACAUGGACUUGACUUGCCGGAGAGCGACGGCCGGCGACCGACGACGUGGCGACGACCUCGAUCCAUCGAUCACAUGGAUGACCAGGAUGGGUGCACGAAUGUCGGGAUAUGCCCUGCCCAGGAAACCGAUCGAGUGGUCAGGGCAACUCCAAUUCAACAUCCAAAUGGUCCGGCCGCGUCUGUUUAAAGUAAAUGCACAGAAAAAACGGCACAACGCGCGGGAGCAAAUCGAUCAACGUCCGUUUUUUAUCCGCUUUUGAUUCAUUUCUGGUCCAAAUUUCGGCGGCGUUUGCGUCGAAACGGAUACGCGCGGACGGACACGACGUGUGCCAUGUCCUCCCCUGGCCCGUCAGUCGGGGACCCAUGCGCCCAUUUUUCUAUUCCAUCCGCCAGUCGAGCCGCACCCCGCUUCACUCCCCUCACGUCCCUAGGCGCCAUCACCGCCAUUUUUCUCGGCCGCGUCGCUGUCCAGCACAGCCGCGCGCCCGCCCCUACCCUUGUCGCGUCCCCCGUGUUCUCGACACUCCUAGCUGUCCAACCCCGGUCGUAUGAUCUCAGCGCAUUCGGUCGCCGGAUUUGGAGCGGAUCCAGCCGGACUUGAGCGUACCCGGCUGCCGGAGACCGCGCCGUGCCAUGGACUGGCCAUGUACCGAACUGCACAGCCCCCGCAACACCCCAGGCCGCAUGUAGAUAUUGACUCCGCCUAUAAACGCUCGAAUCUACCCUGUCGUCGGUUCGCCGGCAAAUACACCAACGAUUGUCACCCAGACUCGGUGCUGGCCCAAAGGCUCGUCGACGCACCGUUGCCACUUAUAAAAUGCGACGAUUGUCCACGAAAGGUCGUACGCCGCGCGUCUACAACGCCGGAACAUCAUGGAUGGGUGUUCGUCAAGUGCAUAAACGAUGGGGUGUGUGCUAUUUUAGCUUCGGUUGUGCUACCGGAUUGGGGGCAUUUUGGAUGGCUCUUUGCUUAUACUCAAACUUUUUGUGAGGAUGGAUCCAACUUUUGGUAUUGGGAAGAAGAAUACAUCGAUCUAUUCAAAGAACGCAAUUUGAUAGAUGUUUGUGCACCUGUUGCUAG